ACUUAAGUAGUUUAAUAUAAAAUGUCGAUUUGUGGUGUCGGUGAUAUAACUUGUUAUCUUAGGUU
rnacentral:tRNA from 1 species